CCCGUGCCAUCAUGGUGACGGCUCUCCUCCGCCGAGCGGCCCGGCCCGGCCCGGCCCCACAACAUCCACGCAGCGGUGUGCGAUUCGCCCUGCCCGGGCUGACACUGGGUCACGGGGAGAGCGCAGGGCAGUGCUAACUCAAGUGAUAGCAAAUAAUUGUGUUGCAGUUUGAUACAUUGGCUAAACAUGCUCCUGUGAAUGGCAAAAAAUAUGCAGCCUUCUUCCUCUUCACUCAGUGCGGCACUGAGAAGACAAAAGUGCCUAGUUCAUAUGCACAUGAUGUCACUGUCCUGUUGAUGCAGAGGGAAGCCUGCUCAUUAGAGAGAGGAUAGAAUGUGAAGACUCCAUGGCUGACCAAAGUUUCCCCUGCUGCAGAAGAGGAAACAGAGGUAGUCCUUCAUUCACCAGCAGUCUCAUCAAGAAGUGAGCUGCAUUGAGCACAUAUUCCAGAAGAAGAAAUUGAAACGGUUGCAGAAGUCCCAUUGCUUUUCAUCACACUUUACAUCCAGAAAAGUUCCAUAAUUUGGUGACAUGAGCAGUUGAAAAUGUUCUGUUUGGGUCAUGUUAUAUUUAACACAACUGCAGUUAGCAUCAUCAGCAAAUUGGCAGGCCAUUUUGCCCCACAUUAGCAUCCCUG
rnacentral:lncRNA from 1 species